rnacentral:rRNA from 1 species
AUUGAACGCUGGCGGCAUGCUUUACACAUGCAAGUCGAAUGGUAACAGGCCGCAAGGUGCUGACGAGUGGCGAACGGGUGAGUAAUGCAUCGGAACGUGCCCAGUCGUGGGGGAUAACUACUCGAAAGAGUAGCUAAUACCGCAUAUGAUCUAUGGAUGAAAGCGGGGGACCGUAAGGCCUCGCGCGAUUGGAGCGGCCGAUGUCAGAUUAGGUAGUUGGUGGGGUAAAGGCUCACCAAGCCAACGAUCUGUAGCUGGUCUGAGAGGACAACCAGCCACACUGGGACUGAGACACGGCCCAGACUCCUACGGGAGGCAGCAGUGGGGAAUUUUGGACAAUGGGCGCAAGCCUGAUCCAGCAAUGCCGCGUGCAGGAAGAAGGCCUUCGGGUUGUAAACUGCUUUUGUACGGAACGAAACGGCUCUGGUUAAUACCCGGGGCUAAUGACGGUACCGUAAGAAUAAGCACCGGCUAACUACGUG